GCGGAUGGAUUAGGUUUCUCGCAAAAGGCAAGGUUUCAACCAUGUACAAGGCCGUCGGAUCGCGCGGGUCCCGGGUCAGCCGCGUGCUCUGG
rnacentral:ncRNA from 23 species